AUAUAUGAUUAAUGUGAAUGAAGAACACUAGGUUGAGUUGAAUUGAAUUGAAUCAUGGAUAAGAGCAUGUUAGCUAGUUUGGAAUCACUUCCAGAAGCUUAUCAGCAAAGAAUGGCGUCCAUGAUGGAACAAGUUCAAAUCCGUGACAGUAUCCAAAAUGUUUGCCAAGAAGAAUGCUAUUGGAAAAGAACAGGUGGCAAAAUUAGUGGACGACACGUAUAGGUAAGUCUUGGCAACAAGUUUGAUGGUAUUCUGUUUGAUAUAAAAUACUUAGAUAGUCAUAUGCGGUGCAUAUAUUUGUGUCUGGUUUAUGUUGGUUCUUUGUUCACCUUUUUUUCUUGGCCCAGAAAAAUGCAUAUAUUUGGUGCCACUGACCUUGCAUCAAAGGGACAGGGAGCCUCAGAUAGCAGUAAUGUGAAAAUUAAAGUGUGACGAUCCACGAUGCCAUGUGUGGCAGCACAUAAAUUGUGUUAUUGUUCCAGAAAAACCUAUGGAAGGUGUCCUGCCAGUACCUGAUAAAUUUUAUUGUGAACUCUGCAGACUCAGCCGUGCAGACCCGUUUUGGGUUUCAAUGGGACACCCCUUGUUUCCUGUGAAGUUGAGCAUAACAAGUCACAACUCGUGUUGGCCAUUGUCUCUGAGGGAAGCAAGUCACACCACCCGUUUUUUUCAAUGAAAAAGAACUAACACUAGUAAUUUAUUUAUUUUACUUUCUCAUGAUCUAUCAUAUGUGGAUUGAGCACUAAUAAUAAAAAGUUAGGAAUGACUUUAACAUUUUGAAUUUUUAUUAGAAGAUAUUUAUGUAGGAUAUAAUAUUUUAAUUUAGUUUUUCGAAGAGUAUUAGUAGUAAAUUCUAAGUGAUUUUAUGCUUAUUUUGAUAAAGCUAUGCUUAAUUUAGU